rnacentral:piRNA from 1 species
CAGCAGAUAAUUCUCCUGAUUGUGUUUUUAA